rnacentral:rRNA from 1 species
AACGAACGCUGGCGGCAGGCUUAACACAUGCAAGUCGAGCGCCCCGCCAGGGGAGCGGCCGACGGGUGAGUACCGCGUGGGAACGUACCUUUUGGUUCGGAACAACUCCGGGAAACUGGAGCUAAUACCGGAUAAGCCCUAACGGGGAAAGAUUUAUCGCCGAAAGAUCGGCCCGCGUCUGAUUAGCUAGUUGGUGAGGUAACGGCUCACCAAGGCGACGAUCAGUAGCUGGUCUGAGAGGAUGAUCAGCCACACUGGGACUGAGACACGGCCCAGACUCCUACGGGAGGCAGCAGUGGGGAAUAUUGGACAAUGGGCGCAAGCCUGAUCCAGCCAUGCCGCGUGAGUGAUGAAGGCCUUAGGGUUGUAAAGCUCUUUUGUCCGGGAAGAUAAUGACUGUACCGGAAGAAUAAGCCCCGGCUAACUUCGUG